GGUUACCUUGGGAAGCUAUAAGAUUAAAUAAGGCUGCAGCAAUUUCUUAGAAGAGUUUCCAACUCUUUGAUUCAAGCCUUCAGGGACUGCAAGCUAUUGUUUUGACUAUCUUCAAAAAUAAAAACCUUCAACGCAUGAAAAUAGAGUUUUAUUUUUGAAAAAUAAUCAAAAGUCCAUAGAAACCGAGUCCAGAGGACAGGGGCCCGUGAAAUUAUAUAGCCUGUCCUGCCAGAGACUUCAACCAAAACACAGACAAAGAGAAAUACCCAGGCUGUUCCCCCUUCUCACCCUUCAUUCUCCCACUGCUUCCCAUUGGACUAACUUAAAAGUAAAAGUAAACUCUAGUGAAAAAAAGAAAUGCAGUUUACAGGUUCUGCUCCUAAGAACCAAAGCAGAGCAGGGGGGUCUGAGUGCUGAAAACUCAGCCCGCACACUCAAGCCAUUUUACACCUGUCUGAUUGAAUAAAUUAGAAACCAUGAAAUGUGAUCAGUCGCAUUAUUUGGAUUUUACUGAAUAAAGGUC